GGAGGAGUGGCUGAGCGGUCGAAAGCGGCGGUCUUGAAAACCGUUGACCCGCAAGGGUCCGGGGGUUCGAAUCCCUCCUCCUCCG
rnacentral:tRNA from 1 species